GAUGAACGCUGGCGGCGUGCCUAAUACAUGCAAGUCGAGCGAACAGACGAGGAGCUUGCUCCUCUGACGUUAGCGGCGGACGGGCGAGUAACACGUGGAUAACCUACCUAUAAGACUGGGAUAACUUCGGGAAACCGGAGCUAAAACCGGAUAAUAUAUUGAACCGCAUGGUUCAAUAGUGAAAGACGGUUUUGCUGUCACUUAUAGAUGGAUCCGCGCCGCAUUAGCUAGUUGGUAAGGUAACGGCUUACCAAGGCGACGAUGCGUAGCCGACCUGAGAGGGUGAUCGGCCACACUGGAACUGAGACACGGUCCAGACUCCUACGGGAGGCAGCAGUAGGGAAUCUUCCGCAAAGGGCGGAAGCCUGACGGAGCAACGCCGCGUGAGUGAUGAAGGUCUUCGGAUCGUAAAACUCUGUUAUUAGGGAAGAACAAAUGUGUAAGUAACUAUGCACGUCUUGACGGUACCUAAUCAGAAAGCCACGGCUAACUACGUG
rnacentral:rRNA from 1 species